GGGGAUCGCAAGACCUUGCGCUAAAGGAGCGGCCGAUGUCUGAUUAGCUAGUUGGUGGGGUAAAGGCUUACCAAGGCAACGAUCAGUAGUUGGUCUGAGAGGACGACCAACCACACUGGGACUGAGACACGGCCCAGACUCCUACGGGAGGCAGCAGUGGGGAAUUUUGGACAAUGGGCGAAAGCCUGAUCCAGCCAUGCCGCGUGAGUGAAGAAGGCCUUCGGGUUGUAAAGCUCUUUUAGUCAGAAAGAAAGAAUCAUGAUGAAUAAUUAUGAUUUAUGACGGUACUGACAGAAAAAGCACCGGCUAACUACGUGCCAGCAGCCGCGGUAAUACGUAGGGUGCGAGCGUUAAUCGGAAUUACUGGGCGUAAAGGGUGCGCAGGCGGUUUUGUAAGUCAGAUGUGAGAGCCCCGGGCUUAACCUGGGAAUUGCGUUUGAA
rnacentral:rRNA from 1 species